AAGACCAGAAGGACAGAGGUGUGAAUGAAGAACCUGAACCCUGAGAAAGGGACAGAAAAAAACAUACUGCAGAACACGAGAGAGGGAUAUCCACACGGGUUUGGAAACAGACCUGUGCAGGUCCCAGGGAAAAAAGUGCUGAAUCACAAAGCCAGCAGGAAACGCAGGUGCUCGGUCUCCACAUCUGACAAUUCCUAUGAUCCAUUGGGUGACCUAGCUUUGAUUCUGCCAUCUUUUGCUCCGUCUGCUGCGAUUCCUCCGAGGUCCACCGACUGCCAAGUUGGAAAAAGAAAAUUCAAGCUUGACUGAUGAUAUUUUAUUCUUCUCAGGGGGCUAUCACAGCAUCCAUCCAGCCUCUUAGCCUCAGCUGUCAGGCAAAGUUUAGCAUGUUCAGCCUUGACUCCAGCGGAGUGACUCUGUCCAAGGUGGAAACUUGCAAUAGGCACAGAACCUUUGCAGGGCAGAGCCCAAGGUCUCUCUUAAUUCUACAGGAGGGUCAUUUAGAAAAGAAAAAAAAAAUAUUAACUGAUGAAAAGCAUUUGAAUGCACAGCAGGAGUUUUGCUCCAUGUCACCUAUUUUGCAAAUUAGCUUCUUUUGUUCCAUGAUGGGCCUGGAGGAUGUAUGCAUGGGACACCUCUGAAGCCUGAUCUCUCAAAGUCACCCUGAAUGGCAUCCUUUCAACACUUAACUUGCAUUCUGCUCUAAAAAGCUACCCUCUAUUACCAUCUCCAUGCAAUAAUUGGAGGUUGUUCAUGACUUUGUAUACCUUGGCUCAAUGAU